AGCAGUCGCCGCGGUAACACGGAGGGUGCAAGCGUUAUCCGGAUUUAUUGGGUUUAAAGGGUCCGUAGGCGGAUCUGUAAGUCAGUGGUGAAAUCUCACAGCUUAACUGUGAAACUGCCAUUGAUACUGCAGGUCUUGAGUAAAUUUGAAGUGGCUGGAAUAAGUAGUGUAGCGGUGAAAUGCAUAGAUAUUACUUAGAACACCAAUUGCGAAGGCAGGUCACUAAGAUUUAACUGACGCUGAUGGACGAAAGCGUGGGGAGCGAACAGGAUUAGAUACCCCAGUAGUCCCUGUCUCUUAUAC
rnacentral:rRNA from 1 species